UACGUAGGGUGCAAGCGUUGUCCGGAAUUAUUGGGCGUAAAGAGCUCGUAGGCGGUUUGUCGCGUCGACUGUGAAAACCCGAGGCUUAACCUCGGGCCUGCAGUCGAUACGGGCAGACUAGAGUUCGGUAGAGGAGACUGGAAUUCCUGGUGUAGCGGUGAAAUGCGCAGAUAUCAGGAGGAACACCGGUGGCGAAGGCGGGUCUCUGGGCCGAUACUGACGCUGAGGAGCGAAAGCGUGGGGAGCGAACAGG
rnacentral:rRNA from 1 species